UACGUAGGGUGCGAGCGUUAAUCGGAAUUACUGGGCGUAAAGCGUGCGCAGGCGGCCGCGCAAGUCGAGUGUGAAAUCCCCGAGCUUAACUUGGGAAUUGCGCUCGAAACUACGUGGCUGGAGUGUGGCAGAGGAAGGUGGAAUUCCACGUGUAGCGGUGAAAUGCGUAGAGAUGUGGAGGAACACCGAUGGCGAAGGCAGCCUUCUGGGCCAACACUGACGCUCAUGCACGAAAGCGUGGGGAGCAAACGGG
rnacentral:rRNA from 1 species